ACUCAAAUGAAUUGACGGGGGCUCGCACAAGCGGUGGAUCAUGAGGCUUAAUUCGUCGAUAAGCGAAAAACCUUACCGAGGUUAGAAACUAUACUGCACGCUCUCCGAAAAGAGAGAAUCCUUCGAGGGUGUAUAGCAGGUGAUGCAUGGCCGUCGUCAGUUCGUGGCUUGAGCUGUUCCCUUAAGUGGGGAAACGAACGCAACCCUCGUUGCCUGUUACAAGUGUCAGGCGAGACUGCUCCCUCACGGGAGAGGAAGGUGAGGAUGACGCCAGGUCAGCAUGUCCCUUGAUACCUCGGGCUGCACUCGUGAUACAAUGGGACGUACAAAGGGACGCAAUACCGCAAGGUGGAGCAAAUCCUGAUAAAACGUUCCCCAGUUCGGAUUGUGGGCUGCAACUCGCCCGCAUGAAGUCGGAAUCGCUAGUAAUCGUGAAUCAGCACGUCACGGUGAAUACGUUCCCGAGCCUUGUACACACCGCCCGU
rnacentral:rRNA from 1 species